rnacentral:rRNA from 1 species
ACAAUUAAUAAAAAAAAUUUUAUAUUAUAUUAAUGGGGGUUUUAGUAUAUUUAUAAAAAAAAUUUUUUAAUUUAUAGUUAAUUAGUAUUGUAAAAGAAUUUUGAAAUAUUUUAAAUAAAAAUUUGUUAAAAAGUAAUUUUAAUUUAAUGUAUCUUGUGUAUCAGAGUUUAUUAAAAAUUUUUGUUAAAUAAUAAUUUCUCGAAUUUAAAAGAGAUAAUUAAUUAUAAAAGUUAUUGUUGCAUAAAUAUUUUUAAUAAUUAAUUUGAAAUGAGAUGUUAAUCGUUUUUAAAUAUAUCUAGUUUUUUUAGAAAAAAAUUUAAUUUUCAAUUAUAAAAAAAAAUUUAUUAAAUAGUUAAUAAAUUUUUAAUAUAAUUUUAUAUUUUAAGGGAUAAGCUUUAAAUUAAAUUUAUAUAAUUAUAAAAACAAAAAAAUUAAAAAUUAUAUGAUUUAAAUUGUUAAAAAAUUUUAGUUUAUUAUAAAUAAUUUUAUUUAUAAAUAAAAUUUAAAAUUAAUUUUAUAUAUUUAUAAAAAAAUAUUUUAAAAUAAAUAAAAAUUAGUUAUAAUGAUAAAAUUAGUAUAUAAUAAUUUAAAAAAAAACAAAAUAAAUGAAUUAUUAAAAUUAAAUAAUAGGAAUUCGGCAAAAAUUUAUAUUCACUUGUUUAUCAAAAACAUGUCUUUUUGAAAAUAAUAUAAAGUCUAAUCUGCCCACUGAUUUUAUAAUUGAAGGGCUGCAGUAUUUUGACUGUACAAAGGUAGCAUAAUCAUUAGUCAUUUAAUUGAUGACUUGUAUGAAGGAUUGGAUGAAAUAUAAGCUGUCUUUUAUUUAAAAUAUAUAAAUUAAUUUUUUAAUUAAAAAGUUAAAAUAAACAAAAAAGACGAGAAGACCCUAUAGAGUUUUAUAAAUAAUUUAUUUAAAAUUAAUUUAUAAUAUGAAUAUUAUAAUUAAAUUAUUUAUUUUAUUGGGGUGAUAAAAAAAUAAAAAUAACUUUUUUUAUAUAUAAACAUAAAUAAGUGAAAUAUUGAUCCAAUUUUAUUGAUUAUAAGAAAAAAUUACCUUAGGGAUAACAGCGUAAUUUUUUUUUUUAGUUCAUAUAAAAAAAAAAGUUUGCGACCUCGAUGUUGGAUUAAGAUAAAAUUUAAAUGCAGAAGUUUAAAAUUUUUGAUCUGUUCGAUCAUUAAAAUCUUACAUGAUCUGAGUUCAAACCGGUGUAAGCCAGGUUGGUUUCUAUCUUUUUAAAAAUAAAAUAUUUUAGUACGAAAGGAUUAAAUAUUUAAAUUAAAUUUAAUAAAUAGGAAUAUUAUUAAAAUAAUU